AGGCAAGACAGAGGUACAAGGCAGAGACAAUCUCCUCCCACCCCCCGCUCCCCGCUUCCUGGCUUUGUGGGAGGCUGUUCCAAAUAGGUGGGACUGGAAUUGCUCUGAGGCUGAUCUCUUCCAGAGGCUCUGCACAAGGGCUUGUCUGACCUCAGGCAGGCCAUGCUGGGGAACCUGCUGGCAGAGUCCCCAGACAUAGGCAGGCUCUGAUACAUCUUGGAGUGUCACCAGCGGAGGGACUUGGGGGAGCAAGACCCCUGAUGCUGAGGAGACUGGGAGCUGAGAGGAGAAUGCUGAUGGAUCCCGCUCUCCUUCCCUUCCAUUAGAACUCAGCACAGUUCCCCAAACUAGAGAUCUUGGUGGCUUAGCUCAACUAUCCAUCAGUGACGCAGCCAAAAACAUCAGCCAUCUGGCCAGGGAGAUUUACCAGCUCUACAAACUGCCGCUACGCCAGAGGUCCAUUAUGGCAAUACCGUAAUGAGGAUUCUGUUGGGAGAAGUGAAGGAAAGAAUCAAGACACACUGAAGAAAGAGAGGUUGCAGUUUCUUCAUUAUAACCAAGCACGCCAGACUCUCUACUCAACAGGGGAGCACCACAGCCGCCCCACCACCAUCCCAGACCCGUGGCACCCACAAGCACUGGCAUGUCUACACGGACCUGUUGAGAGAGCACGUAGUGGCCCUGUGGGACCUCAACAGGACCCUCCAGCAGAGGACGGCGGCAGAGGCCGAGUGGUGCAACAGGCUGCUGUACAAGCUAGUCCCGCAACGCACUGUCAUCUGUACCACAAUGCAGGAGGUCCUUGCUUUGCCUGCCCCUCUAGGGCACUGCUCCUCCUGCACUCCAGGCCCUUGCUCCUCCAGCCCCCCUUUCUCCUCCAGCCCCUCCAGCCUCCCUUUUCCCCCCCCAGCCCCUCCUGCUCCCGA